rnacentral:rRNA from 1 species
UACGUAGGGUGCGAGCGUUUGUCCGGAAUUAUUGGGGCGUAAAGGGCUCGUAGGCGGUUUGUCACGUCGGGAGUGAAAACUCGGGGCUUAACCCCGAGCCUGCUUCCGAUACGGGCAGACUAGAGUGAUGUAGGGGAGACUGGAAUUCCUGGUGUAGCGGUGAAAUGCGCAGAUAUCAGGAGGAACACCGAUGGCGAAGGCAGGUCUCUGGGCAUUAACUGACGCUGAGGAGCGAAAGCAUGGGGAGCGAACAGG